GAUGAAGAACGCAGCGAAAUGCGAUAAGUAAUGUGAAUUGCAGAAUUCAGUGAAUCAUCGAAUCUUUGAACGCACAUUGCGCCCGCUAGUAUUCUGGCGGGCAUGCCUGUCCGAGCGUCAUUUCAACCCUCAAGCCCCCGGGCUUGGUGUUGGGGAUCGGCGAGCCUCCGCGCCCGCCGUCCCCUAAAUCUAGUGGCGGUCUCGCUGUAGCUUCCUCUGCGUAGUAGCACACCUCGCACUGGGAAACAGCGCGGCCACGCCGUUAAACCCCCAACUUCUGAACGUUUGACCUCGGAUCAGGUAGGAAUACCCGCUGAACUUAAGCAUAUCAAUAAGCGGAGA
rnacentral:misc_RNA from 1 species